rnacentral:rRNA from 1 species
CCUACGGGUGGCAGCAGUGGGGAAUAUUGCACAAUGGGGGAAACCCUGAUGCAGCAACGCCGCGUGAGUGAUGACGGCCUUCGGGUUGUAAAGCUCUGUCUUUAGGGACGAUAAUGACGGUACCUGAGGAGGAAGCCACGGCUAACUACGUGCCAGCAGCCGCGGUAAUACGGAAGAUGCGAGCGUUAUCCGGAUUUAUUGGGUUUAAAGGGAGCGUAGGCGGUUCCAUAAGUCAGCGGUAAAAUCGUGCGGCUCAACCGUACCGUGCCGUUGAAACUGUGGGACUUGAGUAUGCGCAGGGUACAUGGAAUUCGUGGUGUAGCGGUGAAAUGCUUAGAUAUCACGAAGAACUCCGAUCGCGAAGGCAUUGUACCGGAGCAAGACUGACGCUGAGGCUCGAAAGUGCGGGUAUCAAACAGGAUUAGAUACCCUGGUAGUC